AAAGCGUAGCAUGCAGCAGGGCAUUACACGCAUUUAUCGGUACAUAAACAAAGGACUGACUGCUGUAUAUGUGACUUGACACACCGGGAAAUGUCGGUAGGAUCUGCACACGGUGCGGCACGCACGAGACCUGAGCCUGCUAAAUAGUCAGCAUCGCACCUGCGGUGCGCAGACUUCUUAGAGGGACUAUUGGCGUUCAGCCAAUGGAAGUAUGAGGCGAUAACAGGUCUGUGAUGCCCUUAGAUGUUCUGGGCCGCACGCGCGCUACACUGACGCGACCAACGAGCCUAUCCUUGGCCGAGAGGCCCGGGUAAUCUUGUAAACCGCGUCGUGAUGGGGAUAGAUUAUUGCAAUUAUUAGUCUUCAACGAGGAAUGCCCAGUAAGCGCGAGUCAUCAGCUCGCGUUGAUUAUGUCCCU
rnacentral:ncRNA from 1 species